GUUUGAUCCUGGCUCAGAUUGAACGCUGGCGGCAUGCUUUACACAUGCAAGUCGAACGGUAACAGGCCUUCGGGUGCUGACGAGUGGCGAACGGGUGAGUAAUGCAUCGGAACGUGCCCAAUCGUGGGGGAUAACGUAGCGAAAGUUACGCUAAUACCGCAUAAGCCCUGAGGGGGAAAGCAGGGGAUCGCAAGACCUUGCGCGAAUGGAGCGGCCGAUGUCAGAUUAGCUAGUUGGUGGGGUAAAGGCCUACCAAGGCGACGAUCUGUAGCGGGUCUGAGAGGAUGAUCCGCCACACUGGGACUGAGACACGGCCCAGACUCCUACGGGAGGCAGCAGUGGGGAAUUUUGGACAAUGGGCGCAAGCCUGAUCCAGCCAUGCCGCGUGCGGGACGAAGGCCU
rnacentral:rRNA from 1 species